rnacentral:tRNA from 1 species
GCUGGGGAUAAAGCUCAAUCGGUAGAGUGCUUACCUUGUAUGCACAAGACCCUGGGUUCAAUCCCCAGUACCAGUA